rnacentral:lncRNA from 1 species
AUGUCUCACCGUUACCGGUGCCGGUACGAGCGGCUGCGCCGCGCCGCGCGGGCUCUGGUGCUGGAGUCUGGAGCUCUAUGUGAUGAACUCGCCAGGAUCGAGGCCAAGGUUCUCCGCGCGCGGCAGGAACGGAGGCUGCUGCUGACCCGGCUGCUGCGGCGCAGGAUGGGGGAUGGGAGCGGGACAGCAGCGGCUGUGGGGUCUAUGGGAUCAUCCAUGGGGUCUAUGGGAUCAUCAAUGGGGUCUAUGGGACCAAUGGGAUCUAUGGGGUCUAUGGGAUCUACAACAGCAUCAAUUGGAUCAAUGGGAUCAACAACGACAUCAAUGGGAUCAACAACGGCAUCAAUGGUAUCAAUGGGAUCUAUGGGAUCCACAACGGCAUCAAUGGGACCUAUGGGAUCAACAACGGCAUCAAUGGCAUCAACGGCAUCAAUGACAUCAUCAAUGACGUCAUCGAUGACGUCAUCAACGGCACCUCAACGGCAGCACCGGCACCGCGGCAAAGAGGGGCAGGGGGAUGGGAAUGGGGAGGAAGGGAGCAGGGGGGCAGGGGAUGGGGCUAUGGGGGCUAUGGGGUCAAUGGAGGGGUCCAUAGGGGCAAGGGAUGGAUCUAUAGGGUCUAGGGGUGGGGCUAUGGGGUCCAGGGAUGGAUCUAUAGGGUCUAGAGAUGAAUCUAUGGGGCCUAGGGGUGAAUCUAUAGGGUCUAGAGUUGAAUCUAUGGGGUCUAGAGAUGGAUCUAUAGGGUCUAGGGGUGAAUCUAUGGGGCCCAGGGAUGGGUCUAUGGGGUCAAGAGCUGGGUCCAUGCCCCCCUUUAGGGAUGGGGCAUCACCAGCCUCCCCCAUAGACAACACUGGCAAUGGGGCCAGACCUAUGGGGCCAAGCUCCGCCCCAAGCUCCGCCCCCCCGAGGGCCUCAGCCAAUAGGAGAGCCCCAUGGAGCAUCCAGGACUUGGGGGGCAGGCGCAGAGGGGGCGGGGCCGGGGGGGGGCGGAGCCUCCCGGGGCAGCCAAUGGGAGCAGGGGAGGUGUUCGGGCUCGGGCACCCAUUGGUCCAGCAGCUGCUGCGGGAGGAGGAGGAGGAGGAAGAUGGAGCUGAUGCCUUCACCUAUGGGGAGCUGUUCUUGGGCAGCCCCACAGGCUCUGAGUGACCCAAAAUGGCAUUAAAUGGACCCAAAAUGAUGGUGAUGUGGUGGUGGGGUCCAUAGGGAUGCGUUGAGUCCAUAGGGAUCCAUCGAGUCCAUAGGGAUGCAUUGGUGUCCAUAGGGAUGCAUUGAGUCCAUAGGGAUCCAUUUGUGGGGUCCAUAGGGAUGCAUUGAGUCCAUAGGGAUCCAUUGGUGGUGGGUUCCAUAGGGAUCCAUUGAGUCCAUAGGGAUGCAUUGACUCCAUUGGGAUCCAUUGGUGGUGUCCAUAGGGAUCCAUUGAGUCCAUAGGGACCCAUUGAGUCCAUAGAGAUCCAUUGACUCCAUAGGGAUCCAUGGUCUCCAUAGGGAUCCAUUGGUGGUGGUGUCCAUAGGGAUCCAUUGCCUCCAUAAGGACCCAUUGACUCCAUUGGGAUCCAUUGACUCCAUAGAGACCCAUUGACUCCAUAGAGACCCAUUGACCCCAUAGGGUCCCAUAGACUCCAUAGGGACCCAUUGACUCCAUAAGGAUCCAUUGACUCCAUAAGGACCCAUUGACUCCAUAGGGAUCCAUUGGUGGUGUCCAUAGACCCACUGACUUCAUAGGGAUCCUUUGACCACGGUCUCCAUAGGGACCCAUUGAUCAUGGUCUCCAUAGAGAUCCAUUGACUCCAUAGGGAUCCAUUGGUGGUGGUGUCCAUAGGGAUUCCCAUUGACUCCCAUUGAUCCCCAUUGCCCCCAUUGACUCUCAUUGACUCCAUAGGGAUCCAUUGAUGCUCUUUAUUGGCCAAUGAGCAUCCCUCCCUCCCCAUUGGAGCCCUCUCAUUGGCCGCCAUCGGAGCGCUCCCAUUGGCUGCUGCGGUCGGAGCCCUCUCAUUGGCCGCCAUCGGAGCGCUCCCAUUGGCCGCCGCCAUCGGAGCCCUCUCAUUGGCUGCCGCCGCCAUCCGAGCGCUCCCAUUGGAUGUUGUGGUGGAUCCGGGUGACCAGUAACCGGCUCCAGUUCCCAUCCGGUUGCACCAGUUGGAUACUGGGAACAGGCUCCGGAUGGGCCGAGAGCAGCUGGAGGCCUGAGGCCUGGAGAUGGGCACGGACAUGGGGCAGGGACUGGGGGGGGCACAGGAACUGCAAUGGGAUCAAUGGGAUCAAUGGGGUUAAUGGGAUCAAUGGGGAUCAAUGGGGAUCAAUGGGGAUCAAUGGGAUCAAUGGGGUUAAUGGGAUCAAUGGGGUUAAUGGGGAUCAAUGGGGAUCAAUGGGAUCAAUGGGGGUCAAUGGGGAUCAAUGGGGUUAAUGGGAUCAAUGGGGAUCAAUGGGGGUCAAUGGGGAUCAAUGGGGUUAAUGGGAUCAAUGGGGAUCAAUGGGGGUCAAUGGGAUCAAUGGGAUCAAUGGGAUCAAUGGGGAUCAAUGGGGGUCAAUGGGAUCAAUGGGAGCAAUGGGAUCAAUGGGGAUCAAUGGGAUCAAUGGGAUCAAUGGGGAUCAAUGGGGGUCAAUGGGAUCAAUGAGGUUAAUGGGAUCAAUGGGGAUCAAUGGGAUCAAUGGGAUCAAUGGGGUUAAUGGGAUCAAUGGGGAUCAAUGGGGAUCAAUGGGGGUCAAUGGGAUCAAUGGGAUCAAUGGGUAUCAAUGGGGGUCAAUGGGAUCAAUGGGAGCAAUGGGAUCAAUGGGGAUCAAUGGGGGUCAAUGGGAUCAAUGGGAUCAAUGGGGAUCAAUGGGGUCAAUGGGGUCAAUGGGGAUCAAUGGGGAUCAAUGGGGAUCAAUGGGUGGUUGGGGAUGGUCAAGGGAUCUCCAAGCAUGGUUGGUGCCACCAUCAGGACCCCCCAUAGCCCCCCAUUAACCCCAUAACCUCCAUAGCCCCAUAUCCCCCCAUAUCCCCUAUGGCCCCAUAGCUCCCCAUAGCCCCCCAUUACCCCAUACCCCCCGUUACCCCCAUAACCCCCAUAGACCCCAUUGCCCCCAUUACCCCCGAUAGCCCCCAUAUCCCC